rnacentral:rRNA from 1 species
GACGAACGCUGGCGGCGUGCCUAAUACAUGCAAGUAGAACGCUGAAGGAGGAGCUUGCUUCUCUGGAUGAGUUGCGAACGGGUGAGUAACGCGUAGGUAACCUGCCUGGUAGCGGGGGAUAACUAUUGGAAACGAUAGCUAAUAUCGCAUAAGAGUAGAUGUCGCAUGACAUUUGCUUAAAAGGUGCAAUUGCAUCACUACCAGAUGGACCUGCGUUGUAUUAGCUAGUUGGUGAGGUAACGGCUCACCAAGGCAACGAUACAUAGCCGACCUGAGAGGGUGAUCGGCCACACUGGGACUGAGACACGGCCCAGACUCCUACGGGAGGCAGCAGUAGGGAAUCUUCGGCAAUGGACGGAAGUCUGACCGAGCAACGCCGCGUGAGUGAAGAAGGUUUUCGGAUCGUAAAGCUCUGUUGUAGGAGAAGAACGAGUGUGAGAGUGGAAAGUUCACACUGUGACGGUAUCUUACCAGAAAGGGACGGCUAACUACGUG